CAGCAGCCGCCACGGGAAUACGUAGGUGGCAAGCGUUGUCCGGAAUUAUUGGGCGUAAAGGGCUCGCAGGCGGUUUCUUAAGUCUGAUGUGAAAGCCCCCGGCUCAACCGGGGAGGGUCAUUGGAAACUGGGAAACUUGAGUGCAGAAGAGGAGAGUGGAAUUCCACGUGUAGCGGUGAAAUGCGUAGAGAUGUGGAGGAACACCAGUGGCGAAGGCGACUCUCUGGUCUGUAACUGACGCUGAGGAGCGAAAGCGUGGGGAGCGAACAGGAUUAGAUACCCCGGUAGUCCCUGUCUCUUAUAC
rnacentral:rRNA from 1 species